rnacentral:SRP_RNA from 1 species
GCCGGGCGCGGUGGCGGGUGCCUGUAGUCCCUGCUACUCGGGAGGCUGAGGUGGGAAGAUCGCUUGAGCCCAGGAGUUCUGGGCUGUAGUGCGCUAUGCUGAUCGGGUGUCCGCACUACGUUUGGCAUCAAUAUGGUGACCUCCUGGGAGCGGGGGACCACCAGGUUGCCUAAGGAGGGUUGAACCGACCCAGGUCGGAAACGGAGCAGGUCCAAACUCCUGUGCUGAUCAGUAGUGGGAUCGCGCCUGUGAAUAGCCACUGCACUCUGGGCAACAUAGCAAGACCCCGUCUCCA